UACGAAGGGGGCUAGCGUUGUUCGGAAUUACUGGGCGUAAAGCGCACGUAGGCGGCUUUGUAAGUUAGAGGUGAAAGCCCGGGGCUCAACUCCGGAAUUGCCUUUAAGACUGCAUCGCUAGAAUUGUGGAGAGGUAAGUGGAAUUCCGAGUGUAGAGGUGAAAUUCGUAGAUAUUCGGAAGAACACCAGUGGCGAAGGCGACUUACUGGACACAUAUUGACGCUGAGGUGCGAAAGCGUGGGUAGCAAACGGG
rnacentral:rRNA from 1 species